AUUUGAUGUAACAAUAAACAUGAAAUAAAGUUUGUGAAGACCUUAGUGCCAAAAAUACUUGCAUGCAUUAUUCAUGCAUGCUGUAUUAUAAUAUAGCAUGCAUGCAUGAUGCAUUUAAGUAUAAAAAAAAGUUACAAAUGUUUAAUUAUACAAAAAGAUUAUGGAUGUGGUACUGCAAGUAUAUUCAAUUGAUUAUGCAAGUAAGUUGUCCUACUUUACAUCUUUGAAGACUAAUAAUAAUUGUAAUGAACAUAUCUCAGACAAUAUACACUCGGAUUUAUAUUUUAGUUAAACCAUCACCACUUCCACAGCCACCUUGUCUCAAGCAUUAAAUCGCAUUCUAAGAUAUCUUUAUUCAAAUUAAGUGUGACUACUUUACCAAAAGACUCUUGAAUGGACCAAUCAAAAAAGAGAUUGUAUGACUUCGGUAUCCGCAAUACGGUAUCGUGCAUUGAUUUCCAUCUUAGAAUGGCUCUCUUCCGUAUAGGUGGAAAUAGGAUAGGUUGUGUCCUUUUUUCUAAUUCUUAAGACGAAGAGGCUUAAUCGGUUCAAACAAAGAUGACGAUGAUCAUUAUGGAGCCGAUCAUGAUGACGAAUACGAUAAUGCAUAUAAUAAUAAAUAAAAUGUUUUUACUUGUAUCUUAGACUUAUAUAAAUAAAAAAUUAUUUGUUUAA
rnacentral:lncRNA from 1 species